GCCAACUGUGAGAUUUCUUUGUUGCAAUAUUGGGGUCUGAGAUAACACUGCUGGAGGCUGGAGGCAAGAAACAUAGCCGAAACCAUCUUUUAGUGUGUGCUGUUAUUUACUAGCGCUGUGAACCAAGGAAGCGAAAAAACAAAGAGCCCGAAGACUGCACAGUUCCAGCUUGUAGGCCCUGGAGACAGUCUGGAGUCCUCAGACGGACAGAAAGAAGACAUCAGAAGGGCAACCUGUGGUGCCUGUGGCUGCUGAGUACAGGCGUGGGUGACUGAUUUUUAAGAAAUCGGCAACACGGAAGCUGAUUAUAAAAUAUUCAUAAGAAGCUGGCUUUUACAGUUGUUCUGAUGUUCCUUUCAGCUGGUCCUAUAGCCCCCUUUCUCAGUAAUGUCUCCCCAGUGAAAGGAAAAAGACUGCAGAGGCUUCAGACUGACGGACGCUCAUGCCAACUGUGAAGUUGAAACAAAGCCAGUGACCAGCUGAAGAGGCCCCUCCUGCCCAGCAGCCACCCACAUGGUGCAGUUGCAGCCAGUAGUAAUCUUUGCAAGAAGCAGAGAAGCCCAGAACACUCAUGAGUCAAAACCAUGCCCUUCCUUGUGUGUAUCCCUGUCUCGUUCAGAUUGAUGCUCCUUCCAUUUGGAUCCUGGUAUGAAUAUGCUUGUUACUGUACGAGUGUAAAAAGCUUUGCCCAAAUGUGUUAAUGUAUGAAGAGACUGGAUUUUUUUUGGGGGGGGGAGAGAGUUAUUUUUAUCAAAACACAGUGUUCGUUCUUGAGAGUGAUCUAGAAAAUAAAAAGCAGUUGGAAAAGACAGCAAAGCAGUCACAGGCGAUCCACAGAGAUGCUCACACCACCACACAGAAACACCACACCAUGCUCCCAGACUCUGAGCAGGGAGCUUGACUCUGUGACAUACUAUGGCUGCUGCCAGGGGUCAACGUCAAGCCAGACAAAGGUGCAGAAGCUUCCUGAAGUGUAGUGAUAAACUGAGUCAGGAGACAAUAAGAACAGCAACGACACAAAAGACAACGUCCUUGGAGGGAGCCAAGUGGGUUUGCUUAAGGAAGGAUGCUCCCUUAAAGAGAGAAUGGGAAAUCAACCUUUAAAGGAUGUAAAAACAAAACUAGAUAAAUGGGAAGAUAGGAGAAAAUAGAGUCCUUAAUGCAAGCAUAAGGGUAAGCAGCAGACGGGCAGAGGAGAUCCACAUGGUGAGUCUUGGAGACUACACAUAUCUCGUCUUGAUUUUGCCUGACACUUGGAACCGCUGUCUGUGUGUCUAGUAGAGAUGCUGCACACAGGUAUCUCCCCUCCCCCACCCCGAAUGUCACCUAAACCAAACUAGAACUAAAGUUCCAGUUCUGUGUCACUACAAAGAUUGGUUGGUGAUUCCUGAAUAGAAGUCAUGAUUCUUCUGUUCGUGAUUGCUUGUUACCAAGUUUAUUCCAUACAGAAAAUGUUUUGCAUAUUAAAUCUCAUGGUUGCUAUGAAAACGACACAUUAUCCACCUUUCACAGGUGAAGGAACUGAUUUUGGUGAGGUUGAGCGCCUGGCCAAGGUGCUACGUGCAGCUAUGCACAUUCAAGGUUGUGGUCAUGAAACUCAGUCCCUAGUCUGACUUUUGUGAUGAGUCCCAACACAGUUGUCACCUUUACCAUAGCCCUUAAUGCCUGUCUACAGAAAGACAUGGCUUUUCUGCUGACUUACAGCCACAGUAUUUCCUACUUCCAUGCUGAAUUAUACCAGAAUGAUAAAACGUAUUUUCAUGGAAGAAAAUUGAGAAUUUAGUGAAAUACACUGCUUGCCAGCAGUUUGUAUGUUUCUUCUUCAUUUUGGUCUGAGACUUUUGAUUUAGUUCUGCAUGAAAUCUCAAAGUUUUAAGAGCAGUAAGGGAAGGGCCUUAAGUUACCUGUUAUAGUACUUUGUGACAGAAGAUGUAAAUCUACAACCUGUAAUCAGAGUGACUUUACAAACAAACAACAAAAAGACACCCCUCCCCACAAAAACUCAAAUCAAACCAACCAACCAAACAACAAAAUAAACAAAACCGCCCACUUAAUUGGAAAUGUCCCAACAAAGACCAGAAACUAAGUCCUCUUUCAAUGGCUUUUAAAUUAUUCCACCCUGUCCUAAAGAAACAUGAACUUGUAUUUGACUAAAGGCACCAAUGUUGCAUAGAUUGGAUCUCAUAAAAUCUAGUUUCUUCCUUCCUUGGUACUCAUGUCAAUGUUAAAUACAGCUAUGAACUAGUGUAUCUAUGUCAAGAAGUUGUCAAUGAUCUGUCCCCAAAGAACACAGAAUAGCCAAUGUUGUAUAUAUACUCCUUCUUUAAUCCAGCCAUGGAGUCAUUAGUUCACCUGCACCAAUCCAAUCCAUUGUGCAUCUUCUCAACCAACCUGACCUAUGGCAAUCAUUUGCAAGUGCUAUAAAUGUUUAUCUAUGACUGUUCCAGAAAUAGUUAGGUAUUAACAAAUACCACUAGUCAUUUUGUGGUGUAAUCUUCAUUUAUCUGUAUCACUAAUUCAAGAAGACUUUGGCCAUAAAAACCUAGAACUAAAAAUCGCAUUCUUGGCUUUCAGCCACUCUACAUUUGAUUGACAUUUCACAGUGAUUAAUAAAUUGUCCAUCUAAAUAACAUAGAUGUCCAGAUUGUGAUUUUUGUCUUGAAUGAGACCGUUAAACUGGGUAGGCUAAGGGACAGAUGUCUAACUUUUUGAGGUACCUGGAUAUUUAACUGAUGUAAUUUUCUACUUAGCUGUUUGACAUUGUUGUAUGUAGUCCUGGUCAUGGCUUUGACUGUUCUCUUUUUUCAAAAUGCUUGUUGGCUCUGUCUUACACUGUUCUCACUGAUCUCAUAAAUAAACAGGUUUGUUGUUAAAGAGUAGCCCAAGCACAAAGUGUGAUGUUGUUGACAUUUUACAAGACUUUCCUUGGUCCCUGACUCCCAAUAAAAGAAAUGUUGCAUUAACUGUGAA
rnacentral:lncRNA from 1 species